UACAGAGGUCCCAAGCGUUGUUCGGAUUCACUGGGCGUAAAGGGUGCGUAGGCGGUCGGGUAAGUCUGAUGUGAAAUCUCACAGCUUAACUGUGAAACUGCAUUGGAUACUAUCCGGCUCGAGGAAUGGAGGGGAGACUGGAAUACUUGGUGUAGCGGUGAAAUGCGUAGAUAUCAAGUGGAACACCAGUGGCGAAGGCGAGUCUCUGGACAUUUCCUGGCGCUGAGGCACGAAAGCCAGGGGAGCAAACGGG
rnacentral:rRNA from 1 species